GAUGAACGCUGGCGGCGUGCCUAAUACAUGCAAGUCGAGCGAACAGACGAGGAGCUUGCUCCUCUGACGUUAGCGGCGGACGUGUGAGUAACACGUGGAUAACCUACCUAUAAGACUGGGAUCACUUCGGGAAACCGGAGCUAAUACCGGAUAAUCUAUUGAACCGCAUGGUUCAAUAGUUAAAGACGGUUUUGCUGUCACUUAUAGAUUGAUCCGCGCCUCAUUAGCUAGUUGGUAAGGUAACGGCUUACCAAGGCAACGCUGCGUAGCCGACCUGAGAGGGUGAUCGGCCACACUGAAACUGAGACACGGUCCAGACUCCUACGGGAGGCAGCAGUAGGGAAUCUUGCGCAAUGGGCGAAAGAUUGACGGAGCAACGCCGCGUGAGUGAUGAAGGUCUUCGGAUCGUAAAACUCUGUUAUUAGGGAAGAACAAAUGUGUAAGUAACUAUGCACGUCUUGACGGUACCUAAUCAGAAAGCAACGGCUAACUACGUG
rnacentral:rRNA from 1 species